UACGAAGGGUGCAAGCGUUACUCGGAAUUACUGGGCGUAAAGCGUGCGUAGGUGGUUUUUUAAGUCCGUUGUGAAAGCCCUGGGCUCAACCUGGGAAUGGCAGUGGAUACUGGAAAGCUAGAGUGCGAUAGAGGGUAGUGGAAUUCCCGGUGUAGCAGUGAAAUGCGUAGAGAUCGGGAGGAACACCAGUGGCGAAGGCGGCUACCUGGACCAGCACUGACACUGAGGCACGAAAGCGUGGGGAGCAAACAGG
rnacentral:rRNA from 1 species